rnacentral:rRNA from 1 species
AUUGAACGCUGGCGGAAUGCUUUACACAUGCAAGUCGAACGGUAGAGGGGGCAACCCCUUGAGAGUGGCGAACGGGUGAGUAAUAUAUCGGAGCGUGCCCAGUCGUGGGGGAUAACGUAGCGAAAGUUACGCUAAUACCGCAUACGAUCUACGGAUGAAAGCGGGGGACUCGCAAGAGCCUCGCGCGAUUGGAGCGGCCGAUAUCAGAUUAGGUAGUUGGUGAGGUAAAGGCUCACCAAGCCAACGAUCUGUAGCUGGUCUGAGAGGACGACCAGCCACACUGGAACUGAGACACGGUCCAGACUCCUACGGGAGGCAGCAGUGGGGAAUUUUGGGACAAUGGACGCAAGUCUGAUCCAGCCAUUCCGCGUGCAGGAUGAAGGCCCUCGGGUUGUAAACUGCUUUGUACGGAACGAAAGGUUUGUCUUAAUACGAUGAGCUCAUGACGGUACCGUAAGAAUAAGCACCGGCUAACUACGUGCCAGCAGCCG